GACGAACGCUGGCGGCGUGCUUAACACAUGCAAGUCGAACGGCAAGGCCCUGCUUUUGUGGGGUGCUCGAGUGGCGAACGGGUGAGUAACACGUGAGUAACCUGCCCUUGACUUUGGGAUAACUUCAGGAAACUGGGGCUACUACCGGAUAGGAGCUCCUGCUGCUUGGUGGGGGUUGGAAAGUUUCGGCGGUUGGGGAUGGACUCGCGGCUUAUCAGCUUGUUGGUGGGGUAGUGGCUUACCAAGGCUUUGACGGGUAGCCGGCCUGAGAGGGUGACCGGCCACAUUGGGACUAAGGUACGGACCAGACUCCUACGGGAGGCAGCAGUGGGGAAUAUUGCACAAUGGGCGGAAGCCUGAUGCAGCAACGCCGCGUGCGGGAUGACGGCCUUCGGGUUGUAAACCGCUUUCGCCUGUGACGAAGCGUGAGUGACGGUAAUGGGUAAAGAAGCACCGGCUAACUACGUG
rnacentral:rRNA from 1 species